rnacentral:tRNA from 1 species
GCGGGUAUCGUUCAGUGGUAGGACCCCACUCUUCCAAAGUGGAGACACCAGUUCGAGCCUGGUUACCCGCACCA